GUCUCCAGGUCUGUGUGACCCAAUGUUUCUUCCUUUACUGUGUACAGGGUGAAGGUUGCUAGACAUCUUCAUCUUGUGGGUGAUAAUCAUCUUUCUCUGUUUUCGAUUCUUUCCUCCUAUUGGUUGGAGAGUCAUUUCCUGUCCCUUCUGUUUCUCCCUUCCUGUUGACCCCCUGAAGACCUCUGUACCUACUGAACCCUCCGGCUCCUCUGUAGUGCAUUCUACUACAAGACGCACCCUAACGCUUAAUACACGGUACACAGGGUACUAAGGACCCCGUGUAACCACCCACUGAACUCUUACCACACCUCUGUGGGAUUGGAGAGUCAUGUGGACAAGAAUGGACUUUCUACAAUGAAUUAACUCCAAAUCUUUAUUUCACUCUCAUUCAAUUCCACUCCAUUAUUUUCUGAAUUCUGAAUAUUUAGAAUCAGAUUCAGCUAAUAUUUAACAGUGACUGCUUCUUGUAACCCUGGUACUUCAGUAAAAUGUAACAGAUGGAGAUGAAAUCAAGCCUGACUAAGGUGGCGUUCAUAUCACUGCUGGUGUGGUCUGGCCACUUCGGGCAUCAGGAUUUGACCAUAGCUGAGGUGGACAGGAUCCCACCAUGCAACUUGAAGAGAACCUGCUGACAGGACAGGGUGGAGUACUGGGUUCAUGCUCCAAGAAUCUCUUUUCCUCCAAAAACAGAAGUUCGGGGUAAAAUGAAAAGAAAAGAUAGAAUUUAAGACAAGCAUUUUUAAAGAUGCAGGCUGGCAUGGAAACACAGAGUGAUGCCUGUGAAGGGGCGGGCGGGCCUGUGGGUUAGGAGCAGAGGCCCGCACUGCUGGUAAAAGAGGUGAAAGUGUCCCCGGGAGACCGGAAGCAGAGGCGGGUGCUCGCCUGGAAGCCCAGGGCGUGGGGGCACUCCUUUCUUAACCUUUUUCUUUACAGAAGGAGGCUAGAAACAAUGGCUGCCAACGCUGAAGGAGCAGUGGCUCCCAUCCAGUCUGGGCCGGGAGAGAAGGGUGAGCAGCGGGCUUUCAAACAAACAACCCCCCCCAAACAAAAAGAAAACCAAAAGCAAAAAACUCAAGUCUUUCAUCAGCUCCACCACUGUAACUCCAUGACAUCUCUUCUUUCUCCUCUGAGCCCAUUAAACUGUACUUCCCGCUUGGACCGAUAUAAUCUAUUCAAAGACGUUUCUUCCUUUAAGCUGUUUAUCUCAGGUAUUUUGUCGCAGCAGUGCAAAACUUAUUACACAAUAAUAGAUACUGAAUUUAUGAUAUUGAUUACUUCUGAUAAGGGUGAUAGGAUUGAAAAUUGAUAAAGAGAGGAUCACAACUAUAUCUCCAUUUUUAUCUCUAUCUAUCUAUGUAUGUAUGUAUGUGUCAGUCAUCUCCUAUUAUAUUGAUAUAGGGGGAAUAAGUGUAACUCCUAACCUGCUGAAUGUCAGAUAUGCCAAGUUUGUGCUCCCCAAAAUUGAAGAAUGAAUUCUAAGGAAUAUCAGAGGUUAAGAGUAGGAAAAAUUUAUUGAGGGAAAGAGAGAGAGAGAGAGAGAGAGAAGGGGACCCAGAAGUGGGUUGCCAAUGAGCCCACUUCUCAAAGGAAGUUUGACAGAGCAAAAUCACAAGGUGGGUACAAUGUGGGUCAAAACUACAAUCAACCAAUGAGAUUAGAAGCACAGCUGCUUAGGCAAUGUUGAUCCAGUGGGGAAGCAGGUCACUUAGCAAGUGUGCAUGGAAAGAACAAAGACCUGUUAAGGGUCCGGGAUACCCACUGCGGCUACUGAUGUCCAUCUACGUGAGCAGGAUCCCACAUCCGUUGCUCAUCCUGGGGGAGGCAUGCAGGCCUGGUCACACGGUCCCCAUCCUGAGGCCUGGCCCUCGACCGAUGCACCUCCAGCCACAGCUGUGAUGUGUUCUCAUCCUCAGCCUGACUCCUGGAGGGCCCAGCCCUGUCUGCUUGCCCUAUUUCUACCCAACUUAGCUGUCCAUAAUAAUAUUUUUACAAAAAGGAUAUUAAAUAUUGCCAAAGGUUAAGAAUCAGUGAAGCUGGGUAAUUGGGUAUAAAGUUUUUUAUUAUAUUUCUUCUUGAGUAUAAAUUUGAAUUAUUGCACAAUAAAAAUGCAACAAAAAAGAAUACCUACAGAAAUACUGCAUUGGACUUGGGAUACGGACACUGUUAAGGCUGAAAAACAUCACGGUGAGAAGACAGAGCCUCCUGCUAGGAGAACGAACGAUGUGGGGUUUCGUACACUUCAUCAUCAUACUGUAUGAAAAUGAUACCUGCAAGUGGUGAUUUCAGUCCCUCCUGGGAGGAGCAGCGCAGGGCCUCGGUGUUUUGCUUUUUAGUUCCCGAUAUUCCUCCGUGAAGGCUGAUUCUGCUGUCCCUCCCUGGUGUCCUGCAUUUUGGCCUAGAAUAUGUGAUUUUUCAGGCAAGAGAAAAACAAUGAGAAUGUGAUCCUUCGGAGCCUCUGACAUCACCUGCACUCAGAAAAUCCUGCCUUUAAUUGCUCAGUGCCUGGAUUAUUGUGGGGUAAAACUGGGACCUCAGGUAGGGAGGCAAAACCCAAGAAGCCCCCGAGGUGCGCUGGUUUACUUGACAAAGGCAGAGUUCACAUCAUAAAGGCAGAAGGGAGAGGAAGAGUCCCAGCUGGGUCUUGGCUCAGUGCAGAAGCCCCCGACUCCAGCAGGAACCCCGGUCAGACUGAGUCACAGCUGAGAACCUGAGGUCCACUGAGUAGACACUGGGAAGCUGGGUGCCUCACUCCCUUGCUCCUGGGCUCUUGGUGCUGCUGAUGGAAGAAUCCAGUCAAGGCUCACAGGGAGUACAGACGUCUAAGUAGAGUCUACAUUAAGUAGGUACUGAGAGCCUUACGCCUUCGUUGGAGAGAAGGAAGACAGUGCCACGGAGGCAUCUGCCCUGAGCAUGAGUUUGGAUUCCUUUUUAUGUCCACAGAACCUACUCCUGGGGUUAAGGGAACUAGGGUGACAUUUCUCUUAGGGAUGACUUUGGGAUGUCAAUAUCUAAAAAAUCUCAGUGUUCCUGCAGGGGCCUAACUCCUGUGAGAAUCUAAAGUAGGUCUCAGCCCCAGGAGGAAGGUCUUCAAAGAAUGCAACUCUUCCUGAUACCGUUGGGCACAGACCAUGGCACCCAGGAAUGCUGUGUGUCUUGUUUUGGAAGUAGCCAGGUGGCCAGCAGCAGAAGGAAUGUGCACACGUGUAACCUUAAAAUGGUACUGUGCUCGGUGGGACCAACGCAGGUCAAAGACCUUGCCAACAAAUCAUUAUAAAUGUGUUAUACAAUGAGGUCUUUAUUUCUGUACCUAACUACAACUGGAAAAGCAUGCUAUUUAGCAGGCCCCAGACCCACUAAUGUCUAAUUAUUUGCCUGACAGAUAUAACAUUGUUCAACAUUCUUCCUCCCUUGAGCAGUCUGAAGUUUCACAGGAGAACAUCAUGAAUCUGCUUCAGGCAGGUGCAUCCUUCUACUUUGUUACCUGGUUUAUCUCCAACCACAUCUGUGUCAGGCAGAAUUAUUUUCCUAAGAGUAGAGAUGAGAAAACUAGCUCAGAGGGGUUGACUUGCUCAAGGUUGUAUGUCCAUGAAGAGGGUUUGGAGGGGCUCAAAUCCAAGUCUACACUGAGCCAGGCUGGAGUAGGCUUUGGGAAUGUAGCACACAGGACACGUGGGAAGAACUUUACCAUUUGGUGGUAGACAAGAUAUCUGUACUGGAGCCAUUGAGGUUGUUCUCAAGGCAUCCGCCCUCGUGGAAACAAUGCUGUGUGCAUAGGGUGCGUACAGGGCCGGCCAGCAAUGGCGCCUUUGGGCUUUGCUAGCGCUGGCUCAGCUGCUUCCUCUGAACAGAUGCAGAGAUCCCUUGAUGUCUCUUUUGCUUUACAGUGAAAUGAUACCAUAUCUCCUUUGGGGGAGAAAGACGGAAGCUUUCUUUCAGUCAAGUGCUCUGGAGAAUGCUCUUUGGAAGAAAGGUGCUUUGGCCUGGUUCCCUCAGGGCAUAGGUGACAAGGAGUGGGCAGCCCCGUGGGGAUAGCUCACCCACCCUGGUAGAGGAAGGCUGCAUUGCUUCUGGGAUGCAUCUGGAACUUUGAGAUUUACUUUCACUCUACCCUGGACCUUGGCAAAGAGGCCAGCUGGCUUGGGACCCUCCCUGCAUGGCCACGCAUCAUCGGCUCUAAUUGUUUAUCCUGAGAGUCUGUGGGAUUGGGACUGUCAUGGAGCUUCCACACACCUCUGGGGAAGACUCCUUCAUGACUUAUAAUUUUCUUGUUGUUGUCUGAGCGCUUGGAGCCCUCAUGGGGGCUUGAUCCCAGGGGUCGCCUCUAGGGGUUCAUAGCUUGGAGCGAAAGGUGAGUUCUUUUAAAGUCAGUGGUAACUCCUGGUCCUUCCCUUUCCACUCCAGCCCACAGUGGACCUCUGCUCACUCCCUUUGGCUCAGAGAAGCUGUGGUCCUUGAGUUUGGGGUCCCAUUCCAGUCAUCCCCCACCACUGCUCCCAGGUUCUGAGUGUGUUUGGUUUUUCUAUUCUACCCACAGAAGGAGAAGUAGCUACUCUACUAGGAGAAGUAGCUGGGGGCAGGUGAGUGGCACCUCUGGAGAUCUUGGGGUACAGGCCAUCUGCUUCUGGUGUACACCCAUGUUGGAGACUGCUAGGGCAGAGCCAAAGAAAUGAGGGGGCGGUGUGUGGGAAGUGUCCCCUGUGAGGCAGACCUAAAGCAGCGAUCCCUGACUUCAGUAUAACCCAGCCUUCUCUAGAGUCUUCCCAGUUUGUGAUCUUGUAUCUGUCUUUUAGAUGCUCUUUCACAGAGCCACUGUGCUUUUCAAUAUCAAACCAUUUCUUAAGUGAGGAAAGCAAAGCACACAGAACUCUGCUGAUUUCCUUAAGCUCACAGAGUAAGGGUGCUGAGGUCCUUUCAUCUGCUGCUGCCCCCCUUACAUAAACCUUCAGUCCAAUUAAAACCAACCUGCUGUUGUUCCUGGGCAGCUUCCCACCACCCCAAGUCCCACUGAAGUCCAAGCCCCUGGCUCUCCUUUCCCUGGGCAGCUGCAGUGACUGCAGGGCUUCCCAGAGGGCACUGGCAGUAUCCGCAGUGAGUCUGUGCCCCACCGUAUCGCUGAGCUGCGGGAAGAACAGGGCCACUGUUCCCAGCUGGGGAGUGGGAGCUGGAAGCCCACAGAGCCUGCCUCUCCGGCCCCUUUCUGCCGCCUCACGGGCGUGGCUGGCUGGGGUCUGCUGUGUGUGAGACGGGCGAGGCUGCCCAGGUCCUCCUCUGCUUCCUCUUGCAUUUGAUCCUAGCACGGGAGGCCAAGCCUGUGUAGUUUGGAGGCCCUGGAACCCCCGGAAUGGAUCCUUUGCAUUCUGAGUUCCAUGAGGUUUUAGGAAGGGCGCUGCCCUGGGAGGACAUUUGGGGAGGAUGGUGGGCCCUGGCACCUGGCCUCGUUUGUCCCUGCCAGCUGGUGGAAGCCAGGCCUGUGGCAGUCCUGCAAGCUGGGUGCUUUUGUUCCUCUUCCCAGCUUCCUGGCAACCAAGAAAAUCUAAAGCCUGGGUGGACCAGAGUUUAAAAACAGCUUUCCAGGAGAUUUGAAAUUAAAUUUAGAAGAAAAGGAAAUUAUAUAUGAAAAUCAAUUCCAUUUGCCUCCUGCACAAGGCCAGCGACCGAGGCGCCGUCGUUGCCCAGCAGAGAGGAGGUGGCUAUAGCACUGGCCCCAGAUCGGGUGGCUCUUCUGUAAGUACUGGUAGGCAGGUGCGAUUUCCCUCCUGCUUCCUGGAACACAGGGAGCUGGAGGGGAAAGGAAGCGGAGGACUCUGGGUAAGCAUGUGGGUAGGGGUGUGCAUCCAUUUUUAAAUUCAUCAACAUAUUUAUUGCUGCAUGCCAGGGACUCUUUCUGGCAUUGGCAACAUAGGGAUGAGUGAAAAGACAGAGGUACAAUUUCCAAGGAACUCCCUUCCUUCUGUGUGCACGUGUGUGUGUGUGUGUGUGUCUGUGUGUGUGAUUACAAAUAAAUAUCUGACAUAAAAAUGAGGCUGUGGCCAAAACUCAUGUCGAGAAGGGGCUCAGAGAGUUAUGGAAAUUGCAUUUUUAUUUUUUACAAAAAUUAUAUUUGUUCACGCUCCCAGUGUGUAAUGAUCACGUUCAUCCUGGGGUGUUGGCAUAGUGGGGCGGGAGGAGACAGGAAGCUACAUAAACAGAAUGGGACUGUGCUCUGUACAAGGAAGUCACGCACUCAGGUACUGAGCAGACCCGGCCUCUCCGAGUGUGGCCUUGUGUGGAGAAUUGAAGGAAGCGGGAGAGGAAGCCACAGAAAGAGAAAAGGAAACAGCACCAAUGCAGGAGUGAAAUUCUGCGGAAUGCUGUUCCUUCUGUCUUUAGGCCAGGGCUGCAGAGGACAGAGCCCUCUCCUGACCGCAGCGGAGACACUGUGGCUCUGCACGGUCAGGUAGCUCGUAUCUGGGGGGAGCCAGGGCCGGGUGCCGCUGCCGGGUUCCGAGGCAGUGCUGCUAACUGGGCCGUCUGUGUGCCACAGCCAGGCGGCUGUCAGAUCUCUGCAGGGGAUCGGGGAAUGGGCAUGCAGUGAGCGAGGGCAGCCAGGAGAGGGCUCCGCCCGCCGGUGCUGGCACCAUCAGCCCCUUCCUGCUGCCCCCAGACUCUGCCUGCCCACCGCUGCCUGGUACCGGGACAGGUGGGGAUGUUCUGAAACUGCUGCCUGGAUCUCUCAGCUCCUUUCACCUUGGGGCCAGGUGGAGAGAACUGAAGCAGGGAGAUGUCCACCUCCCUCCCCAAGCUGUCAUGCAGCCACACAAGCAAAUAGCUGCAGAGGCCCAGCCUUCAUUGCCCUGCCCGAGCCCAAGAUCCUUUGUUAGGGAGGCCUUAGGUGAGGGAGCCCCAUCUUUUGAGGACACCAUCUUGGGCCAAGUCCCCAGGCAGCCUUUCCUCUAUUUAGUGGCUAUCCUGCAGACCCUCUUCUCUCCCCUCUGUCACCUGUGCCCUGGAUGGCGGUGCUUGAUGAGGCAGUUCUCUGAUGCUGCUAGUAGGCAUGGAGGUGUGCAGGGGAUGAUUCCUGAGCAGCAGAGAAAUGAACCCCACAGCCAGAACCCGGAGCCAGGGUUUCGAGGCAUCAUCUAGUAGAGUGGAACAGAGAGACGGGGUGUGGUGUGAGGGGACAGCUCAGCUUUAGCGUCACAUACCUCGGGGUUUGAACUCCACCUGCUGCAUACAAGUUCUAUUUUGUGCAAGUUACUUGCUGUCUCUGAGCCUCGGUUUUCCCAGUUGCAUGAAAACCAGGACAGGCAACGCCUCUAUCAAGGAUGGGCCACCGGAUCACAGUGCUGUGGAGCCGCUAUCUGCUGGGCUUUCCUGGGCUGGAGACAGACUCAUUCUCCCUCACACAUGGCCUGGGAGGUGGGAGUAGGUGAAGAGUAGGAUGGGAAGCUGGGCGUGGUGGCACACACCCAUCUUCCCAACACUGGGAGCUCAGGAAGGAGGGUCACGAACUUGCGACACCCUGUCCCCAAAUGAAAAAUAAAAAAGGACCGGGAAUGUAGGUCAGUGUAAAGACUCUGAGUGUCGUGUCCUGUAUUGCAACAAGCAAAACCAACCAAAAUCAAAGAAACAAGAGUAGGAUUUGAUCCUCUGAGGAGAGACACAGCGCUUUCUGGAACUCUUGUUCAGAAAAUGUUCCUCAUUAAGUUGUGUCUGGUGAUGUACCUGAUUCCAGCUGAAGUUCACCUUCUUAUGUUAGGGCAGGUUUCUUUCAGUUCACUUCUGUUAGGUGGGGUGCUUGGGGCUUGAAGGCAUCAGGGAGUCUCACCCUGAACGUGGCCAUAACCACCAUGUUGGCCCCGCACCCACUGAUGCUGGGUCUCUGUGGUGAACAUUUGUAUGAGGAUCUGCUGGGCACGAAAGUAAAUUAAUACAUUCAAAUGCUACAGAUCUCAAAAUUUUCCAAGAGUUAGGAAACGGGGUGGUUCUCUUUUUAAUGAAUGAAAGUGAAAUAAUGUACGGUCAUAGGUGGCACGGUUCAUUGUGGGCAUGGUGGGCACAUGUAUGAUGGAAGCUACCCGAGAUUGUAUCAUUUAGUGACAAUAAAGUGCACUCUGAUGUGCAUGGCUGAAUGUUAAUAAAUGAAGUAAUGUGAAAUGCAUUCGGUUAUUUUAUUCCCUUGAACUUUUUGAGUGGUUUUCUCCAUGUGUCAGUCCAGUCCGUUUGAU
ensembl:lncRNA